rnacentral:rRNA from 1 species
UGGGAAUAUUGGACAAUGGGCGAAAGCCUGAUCCAGCAAUGCCGCGUGAGUGAUGAAGGCCUUAGGGUUGUAAAGCUCUUUUACCCGGGAUGAUAAUGACAGUACCGGGAGAAUAAGCUCCGGCUAACUCCGUGCCAGCAGCCGCGGUAAUACGGAGGAGCUAGCGUUAUUCGGAAUUACUGGGCGUAGAGCGCACGUAGGCGGCUUUGUAAGUUAGAGGUGAAAGCCUGGAGCUCAACUCCAGAAUUGCCUUUAAGACUGCAUCGCUUGAAUCCAGGAGAGGUGAGUGGAGUUCCGAGUGUAGAGGUGAAAUUCGUAGAUAUUCGGAAGAACACCAGUGGCGAAGGCGGCUCACUGGACUGGUAUUGACGCUGAGGUGCGAAAGCGUGGGAGCGAAACAAGAUUAGAUACCCUGGUAGUCCACGCCGUAAACGAUGAUAACUAGCUGUCGGGCGUCUUAGAGCUUCGGUGG